GCCCGGCUAGCUCAGAUGGUAGAGCAUGGGACUUUUAAUCCCAGGGUCGUGGGUUCAAGUCCCACGUCGGGCG
rnacentral:tRNA from 1 species